rnacentral:misc_RNA from 1 species
AACGCACAUUGCGCCCUUUGGUAUUCCUUAGGGCAUGCCUGUUCGAGCGUCAUUUACAAAUUCAAGCUCAGCUUGGUGAUGGGUGUCUGUCCCGCCGUCGCGCGUGGACUCGCCUCAAAUGCAGUUGGCAGCUCCUCCCUCGGCUCUAAACGCAGCAGAAUUGCGUCGAGCGCCUUGAGGAUGGGCUCUCCAGGAAGCAAACCCCCCACAAAUUGACCUCGGAUCAGGUAGGGAUACCCGCUGAACUUAA